rnacentral:rRNA from 1 species
CCUACGGGUGGCAGCAGUGAGGGAUAUUGGUCAAUGGGCGCGAGCCUGAACCAGCCAAGUAGCGUGAAGGAUGACUGCCCUACGGGUUGUAAACUUCUUUUAUAAAGGAAUAAAGUGAGGCAAGUGUGCCUUUUUGUAUGUACUUUCUGAAUAAGGAUCGGCUAACUCCGUGCAAGCAGCCGCGGUAAUACGGAGGAUCCGGGCGUUAUCCGGAUUUAUUGGGGUUAAAGGGAGCGUAGAUGGGUGGUUAAGUCAGUUGUGAAAGUUUGCGGCUCAACCGGAAAAUUGCAAUUGAUACUGGCAGUCUUGAGUACAGGUGAGGUAGGCGGAAUUCGUGGUGUAGCGGUGAAAUGCUUAGAUAUCACGAAGAACUCCGAUUGCGAAGGCAGCUUACUAAACUGCCACUGACAUUGAGGCUCGAAAGUGUGGGUAUCAAACAGGAUUAGAUACCCUAGUAGUC